AAAGAACGCUGGCGGCAUGCCUAACACAUGCAAGUCGAACGAAGGCUUCGGCCUUAGUGGCGCACGGGUGCGUAACGCGUGGGAAUCUGCCCUUAGGUUCGGAAUAACAGUUAGAAAUGACUGCUAAUACCGGAUGAUGACGUAAGUCCAAAGAUUUAUCGCCUGAGGAUGAGCCCGCGUAGGAUUAGCUAGUUGGUGUGGUAAAGGCGCACCAAGGCGACGAUCCUUAGCUGGUCUGAGAGGAUGAUCAGCCACACUGGGGCUGAGACACGGCCCAGACUCCUACGCGAGGCAGCAGAGGGGAAUAUUGGACACGGAGCGCAAGCCUGAUCCAGCAAUGCCGCGUGAGUGAUGAAGGCCUUAGGGUUGUAAAGCUCUUUUACCCGUGAUGAUAAUGACGGUAGCGGGAGAAUAAGCCCCGGCUAACUCCGUG
rnacentral:rRNA from 1 species